rnacentral:rRNA from 1 species
UAUUGAAAUAAACCUGAUGGGUUGUUGCUGGCUCUCUAGGGAGCAUGUGCACACCUUGUCAUCUUUAUAUCUCCACCUGUGCACCUUUUGUAGACCUUUCAGGUCUAUGUUGCUUCAUUUACCCCAAUGUAUGUUAAUAGAAUGUUGUGCCUAUAUUAAUAUAUACAACUUUCAGCAACGGAUCUCUUGGCUCUCGCAUCGAUGAAGAACGCAGCGAAAUGCGAUAAGUAAUGUGAAUUGCAGAAUUCAGUGAAUCAUCGAAUCUUUGAACGCACCUUGCGCUCCUUGGUAUUCCGAGGAGCAUGCCUGUUUGAGUGUCAUUAAUAUAUCAACCUUCUCUUUUUGAGUGGUUUGGAUGUGGGGGUUUGCUGGCCUCUUAAAAAGGUCUUGGCUCUCCUGAAAUACAUUAGCGGAACAACCCUGUUCAUUGGUGUGAUAACUAUCUACGCUAUUGAAUGUGAAGGGCAGUUUGGCUUUCUAACGGUCCUUGGACAGCUCAUCAUUAAUGUGACCUCAAAUCAGGUAGGACUACCCGCUGAACUUAAGCAUAUC